GAUGAACGCUGGCGGCGUGCCUAAUACAUGCAAGUCGAGCGAACGGACGAGAAGCUUGCUUCUCUGAUGUUAGCGGCGGACGGGUGAGUAACACGUGGAUAACCUACCUAUAAGACUGGGAUAACUUCGGGAAACCGGAGCUAAUACCGGAUAAUAUUAUGAACCGCAUGGUUCAAAAGUGAAAGACGGUCUUGCUGUCACUUAUAGAUGGAUCCGCGCUGCAUUAGCUAGUUGGUAAGGUAACGGCUUACCAAGGCAACGAUGCAUAGCCGACCUGAGAGGGUGUUCGGCCACACUGGAACUGAGACACGGUCCAGACUCCUACGGGAGGCAGCAGUAGGGAAUCUUCCGCAAUGGGCGAAAGCCUGACGGAGCAACGCCGCGUGAGUGAUGAAGGUCUUCGGAUCGUAAAACUCUGUUAUUAGGGAAGAACAUAUGUGUAAGUAACUGUGCACAUCUUGACGGUACCUAAUCAGAAAGCCACGGCUAACUACGUG
rnacentral:rRNA from 1 species